rnacentral:rRNA from 1 species
CUCCUGAUUGCGAAAGGCAGGCUCAAUUAGACUGUUUACUGACACUGAUGCUCGGAAAGUGUGGGUAUCAAACCAGGAUUAGAUACCCUGGUAGUCCACACAGUAAACGAUGAAUACUCGCUGUUUGCGAUAUACAGUAAGCGGCCAAGCGAAAGCAUUAAGUAUUCCACCUGGGGAGUACGCCGGCAACGGUGAAACUCAAAGGAAUUGACGGGGGCCCGCACAAGCGGAGGAACAUGUGGUUUAAUUCGAUGAUACGCGAGGAACCUUACCCGGGCUUAAAUUGCAACAGAAUAUAUUGGAAACAGUAUAGCCGUAAGGCUGUUGUGAAGGUGCUGCAUGGUUGUCGUCAGCUCGUGCCGUGAGGUGUCGGCUUAAGUGCCAUAACGAGCGCAACCCUUAUCUUUAGUUACUAACAGGUUAUGCUGAGGACUCUAGAGAGACUGCCGUCGUAAGAUGUGAGGAAGGUGGGGAUGACGUCAAAUCAGCACGGCCCUUACGUCCGGGGCUACACACGUGUUACAAUGGGGGGUACAGAAGGCGGCUACCUGGUGACAGGAUGCUAAUCCCAAAAACCUCUCUCAGUUCGGAUCGAAGUCUGCAACCCGACUUCGUGAAGCUGGAUUCGCUAGUAAUCGCGCAUCAGCCAUGGCGCGGUGAAUACGUUCCCGGGCCUUGUACAAGGGCGCCCGUCAAGCCAUGAAAG